rnacentral:rRNA from 1 species
GAUGAACGCUGGCGGCGUGCCUAAUACAUGCAAGUCGAGCGAACGGACGAGAAGCUUGCUUUUCUGAUGUUAGCGGCGGACGGGUGAGUAACACGUGGAUAACCUACCUAUAAGACUGGGAUAACUUCGGGAAACCGGAGCUAAUACCGGAUAAUAUUUUGAACCGCAUGGUUCAAAAGUGAAAGACGGUCUUGCAGUCACUUAUAGAUGGAUCCGCGCUGCAUUAGCUAGUUGGUAAGGUAACGGCUUACCAAGGCAACGAUGCAUAGCCGACCUGAGAGGGUGAUCGGCCACACUGGAACUGAGACACGGUCCAGACUCCUACGGGAGGCAGCAGUAGGGAAUCUUCCGCAAUGGGCGAAAGCCUGACGGAGCAACGCCGCGUGAGUGAUGAAGGUCUUCGGAUCGUAAAACUCUGUUAUUAGGGAAGAACAUAUGUGUAAGUAACUGUGCACAUCUUGACGGUACCUAAUCAGAAAGCCACGGCUAACUACGUG